rnacentral:rRNA from 1 species
CAAUAGCGUAUAUUAAAGUUGUUGCGGUUAAAAAGCUCGUAGUUGGAUUUCUGCUGAGGACGACCGGUCCGCCCUCUGGGUGAGUAUCUGGCUCGGCCUUGGCAUCUUCUUGGGGAACGUAACUGCACUUGACUGUGUGGUGCGGUAUCCAGGACUUUUACUUUGAGGAAAUUAGAGUGUUUCAAGCAGGCGCACGCCUUGAAUACAUUAGCAUGGAAUAAUAAGAUAGGACCUUGGUUCUAUUUUGUUGGUUUCUAGAGCUGAGGUAAUGAUUAAUAGGGAUAGUUGGGGGCAUUCGUAUUUAACUGUCAGAGGUGAAAUUCUUGGAUUUGCUAAAGACGGACUACUGCGAAAGCAUUUGCCAAGGAUGUUUUCAUUGA